CUUUCUCCCAUUUGAGGAGAGACAUUUGUUCAAGACACUUUUUUUCUCCUCUCACUGACAAUACGUAAGGCAGAAAGUUGGUGUCUACGUUGCUGCAUGGCUGCAGAAUAGAUUGUUUCGAGAAGGUGAACUCUGGAAAGGGUACAACUAGGAAAGGAGAAAGCAUGUUACGGCACCAGGAAAUUAUUAUAGGAGUGAUACCUUGAACUAUUUUGGAAAGAUCUGGGAAAAGAAAUUAAGGUCUCCAAGGAGGAACUGGAGAAUCAAUGAGUGACUGGCCUGGUCACCCUGAGCAGCAAAACACUGAAGUGGGACUACAAAAAAGGAAGUUGGCACAGGGAUAUAUGGAAACUGUUGACUCCGAGGCUCCUCAGCCACAUGUUUAGUGAUGGGCCCAGAGCUGUUGUUGCUCAGCAAGACCAGCAUUUUGGAAGAAGAUGUGAGCACAAAGCUGAGAAGAUCUGGGGAGAGCAAAGGCACACUGGAACCCCUGGUUGGUUACAUCAUGGCCGUCUCUCAUUGCUUCUCACUAUAAUGGCCUCCAGAGAGUGAUAGUUGCUCUUUUGCUUCUGUAAAUUCCUCUUUUGAAAUAUUCUAACCUAGAACCAUAAAGACCAGGGAGGUUGUGGAAUGUCAAUUUGAUCUAAACAAACUGAUGAAGCACAAACCACUCUGCUACAUUUUGAGCUCAUUGGAACUGAACUUGCUUAGGGCCUGGUAUUGCCCUUUGUGUAUUUUCUGACAGAGAAGUAGACAAUCACAUAACAACAAGUGUGGGGAACAGUCUCAUAAAAUAGCUAGGCAUUGUGGCAUUAUUUCAAAUGAGAGACAAUAUACUGUAUGACUGAUUUGCUCAUAGGUAGAAUUAUUUCAUUGAAGGAGUCAAAAGUUUCAAAACAAGCCUAAUAAUAAUACAAAAAGGGAUAAGAAAGAUACAGAAUAAAAAGAAAAGUAUAAACAUAAGCGAAAUAUUAAACUAAAAAAUACAAUUGUUGAAUCGAAGAACAUGUUUGUUGGAAUAAAGUGUGGAAAGGAUGUAUCUGAAGGAUAAAUGUGUGUAUUAGGAGGUAAAUGGAAAUGAAGCCAUGUAAACAGCAUGUUUGUUGCAUCAGCACUAUAAUAUGUUCUAAUAUAAUGGGGAAAGUGUAGAGAAAUGUGUAUCUCAGACUUCAUAUUUCUUUUUUUAAUUGUACAUUAUUAAGGGAUACAGAGUGAAAUUUCAUUAUCUCUAUACAAUGUAUGAUGAUCAAAUCAGGGUAAUUAACAUAUCCAUCACAUCAAACAUUUCUCAUUUCUUUGUGUUGUGAACAUUUGAAAUAUUCUCUUUUAGCUUUUUGAAAAUAUACAAUAAAUUAUAGUUAACCAUAUUCACCCUACAGUGCUGCAGAUCACCAGAACUCAUUCCUCUUGUAUUCCCUACACUCAUUACUCUACUGCUUACCAUCUUCCCCUCCCCUACAAUUCCCAGCCUUUAAGAGCCACAACUCUACUCUCCACUUCCAUGGGCUCAAGUUUUUUGUGUUUUUGUGUGUGUGUGUGUGUGUGUGUGUGUGUUUAAUAUUAGCUCUCAUAUAUGAGUGAGACAUUCAGUAUUUAUUUUUUGUGCCUGAACUAUUUUGCUUAAUAUGAUGUCAUCCAGUUUCACCUAUGUUAUUGCAAAUGACAGAAUUUCAUUCUUUUUAAUGACUGAAUAGUAUUCCAUUGUGUUUGCAUACCACAACUUCUAGCCAUUCACCUGUUGAUGGACGUUUAGGUUAAUGCCAUAUCUUAACUAUUGUGAACAGUGCUCCAAUAAACUUUGGAUAAAUAUCCAGUAGUGGGAUUGCUGGAUCAUGUGGUAGUUCUAUUUUUAGUUUAUUCAGAAACCUCCACACUAUUUUUCAUAAUGGCUGUACUAAAAAACAUUCCCACCAACAGUAUAUAAGGGCUCCAUUUUUUUCACAUCCUUUUCAGCAUCUGUUUUUGUCUUUUUUAUGAUAGCCAUUCUAAUUGGGGUGACAUAAUAUUUUAUAAUGGUUUUAAUUUGCAUUUCCCUGAUGAUUAGUGCUGUUGAGAAUUUUUUGUAUAUUUAUUGGCCAGUUAUAUGUCUUAUUUUGAGGAAUCUUUAUUCAGAUCUUUUUCCUAUUUUAACGGUAUUAUUAUUAUUUGCUCUUGAGUUGUUAUUAGUCCCUUGUUGGAUGAAUAGUUUGCAAGUAUUUUCCCCUAUUCUCCAUGUUGUCUCUUAACUCUGUUGAUUCUUUCACUGUGCAGAAGCUUUUAGUGUAAUAUAGUCCUAUUUGUCUGUUUUGUUUGUAGUCUGUCACUUUGGAGUAAGAUUUCAUAUUUCGUCUAUCUCACCAUUACCUGUGUUUUCACAAAUUAUUAGCAAAUGUGAUUUGUGAGUCUGAUUUAGCAAUCAUGCAGUUUAUAUCUUACAAUCCUUUAAUUAUUCUUUUAUUUAAAAAAUACACCUAUAUAGGUAAACACAUAUGUAAUAUAAAUAACACGCAAAUUUGUAUCACGUUUACAUAUAGAUAUGUAGUACUUUGAUGAACCCUAUGCAUCUAUCAACGACAGUCAGGUGCUUUACACAUGCAACUUGAAAGCCUUGAGAUAUUACUAGAUGAGAAAAGCAAAUUAUAAACCCAUAUAUUUAGUACAUACCAAAUUUUAAGAAUAAGAUAUAUACGGAUAUACUUAGGCAGGUAAGUGUUCCUAUAUAUUUCUGCACUAAAAAAUUAUGGAAGUGGAAAUAUUUUAUUAUAAUGUCUAGUUAUCCAUGUGUCAUGGGUUUGGGAGAAAUAAACUUUUCAUUUUAAAUACUUUAAUAUUAUUUGGAUUUUUAUAUCUAUUUUUAUAGCUAAGGAUAGUUGAUGUACAAACAACAAAGAAGAACAAAAAAUAUAUAAACCUCUGGAUUUAAGAAUCAGAAGAACUGGGUUCAGGCUUUAGCUCUGUGUCUCUCAGAAACAGGAGUGAAUUUAGGUGAGUUGCUGCUUCUAUUUGAAUAUUCAUUAUAAUUUUUUCCUUAAACUUUUUGUUGAGGGUUAACAUAUAUAUGAAAGUGCCUUGCCCACUGCUGUGCAAAUAACAUGUUAAUAUUCCAGAAAUCCUCAUUUCUUUAACAGAUAAGAGGAGGAGGAGGAAUAAUUCCUUUCUUUUGGGUAUUUUUGCUUAAAGUCCUUGUGGGAGUCAGUAGCAUUCCAUGAAACAGAUUUUAAGUAAAAGCAAAUUAGUACAGUGCUAAAGCUAUAACUUUACUUGCCACCCACUAUCAAAUGUUAUUUGUGGAAUACCAUUGUAUAAAGAUUAGCAAGGGAAAAUACAGAUAGGCAGAGCAAUUGAUUUUACAUACUUCUCAAAAAUGAAAACUACAGGUGGAUCUCAAGCUGGCCUAACAUCAUCCAAGAUUUAUCUUACUUUUGGGUGGAUUUGACUUGGUAAGGUGCAUUGCCUGACUACAGAGACUAUUCCCUAUUCUUCCCUCUCUGUCAGCAGACUAUUUGCUAGCAUGUCAAUCAUCAGUUUUGUCAUUGAACGUGGUCUCUACCAGUGGUAAUUAGGAAAGUAAAUUCAACAGUGAAAAUCAGCAAGCAAAACUCAUCAAUCAGCAGCUCUUAAAAAGAGAGAUCACAAUCAUAGCAGCAAAAGCUGGGAGAUCAUGUCCCUCAGGGCAUUAGGAGUUUUAUAUAAAAAUGUACGUGAUGACUUUGCAAUAGGGACACCCACUGUGCAAAGCCCAAUGUGUGGCUCUCAUUUUCAAUUCAGAUAUCGUCAGUCUGAAGUCUUAUAAUAUGAUCACAGUUACAACAGAAAGAUAUUCAAAUCAUAAUGACUGAUGAGCAACAAAACCAAUUUAUUACUAGAUCUGUCUCCCCACACACUCUGAAGAAUUCCUGGGGAUGUUUACAUUUGCUCAUGAAACCAUUUGUAUUGCUAUGCUAAAAAAGCAGAAACUCAGACAUCAGCACUUGCAACCAAUGUUGUAAAUGCUGCCCUCUGGAAGCCCACUGGUGAGGCUGUGUCCAUACCACCCUUGGUACCAUUAGUAAUAUGGAGGUAAGCUUUAAUCUUGAACCAAAAUGAAAAAAGUGCUGUGAUAGCAACUCCAGCAGUCUCCUUUUGUUUAGUACUUCCACAAACAGCAAUGCAGUUUCUGCUAAUGCACCCAAGCCUGGGUGACUCUACUUCACCAAAGAGCUGGUAAACCUUCAGUAUUGAGCCUAGUUUGGGAAACUCCUGAGUACAGGCUUUAAGACCACAAAGAGGCCGAGUUGCAGCAAAUGCAUCUUAGAAUUUACACACAGCCAUUUUCCCAAAGGCAGAGCACUGGUGUACAGGGGAAGGGGAGAUAACAGAGAAAAAGUGGACUGCAUAUUGUGCCCAGGAUCUAUUAUCACUUCAGAUCUCAGUAAAUUUGCAAUGAUUUUCUUACAUUCAAAAUGUCAGAAAGAAUUUAUCUUACUUCUUGCCAGUGGGUCUAAAACUCACAUGCAUGUUUUGAGGUGUAUUCUCAUAAUAGUGAAUAAGUCUCACGAGAUCUGAUGGUUUUAAAAAGAGGAGUUUCCCUGCACAAGCUCUCUUCUCUUGUCUGCCACCAUGUGAGAUAUACCUUUCACCUUCCACCAUGAUUGUGAGGCUUCCCCAGCUACGUGGAACUGUAAGUCCAAUAAACUUCUUUCUUUGGUAAAUUGCCCAGUCCCAGGUAUGUUUUUAUCAGCAGCAUGAAAAUGGUAAAUUGGUACCAGUAGAGUGGGGUGCUGCUGAAAAGAUACCUGAAAAUGUGGAAGUGAUUUUGGAACUGGGUAACAGGCAGAGGUUGGAACAGUUUGGAGUGCACAGAAAAGGACAGGAAAAUGUGGGAAAGGUUGGAACUUCCUAGAGACUUGUUUAAUAGCUUUGUCCAAAAUGCUGAUAGCAAUAUGGACAAUAAAGUCCAGGCGGAGGUGGUCUCAGAUGGAGACAAGGAACUUGUUGAGAACUGGAGGAAAAGGUGACUCUGUUAUUUUUUUAGCAAAGAGACUGGUGGCAUUUUGCCUCUGCCCUAGAGAUUUGUGGAACUUUGAACUUGAGAGAGAUGAUUUAGAGUAUCUGGCACAGGAAAUUUCUAAGCAGCAAAGCAUUCAAGAUGUAACUUGGGUGCUGUUAAAGGCAUUUGGUUUUAAAAGGGAAACAGGCAUAAGAGUUUGGAAAAUUUGCAGCCUGACAAUGCAAUAAAAAAGAAAAUCCCAUUUUCUGAGGAAAAAUUAAAGCUGGCUGCAGAAAUUUGCAUAAAUAAGGAAGAGCCUAAUGUUAGUCACAAAGACAAUGGAAAAAAAUGUCUCCAGUGCAUGUCAGAGACCUUUGAGGCAACCCCUCUCAUCACAUGCCAGGAGGUUUAGGAGGAAAAAAUGGUUUCAUGAGCCAGGCCCAGGGUCCUUGGGCUGUGUGCAGCCUAGGGACUUGGUGCCCUAUGUCCUAGCUGCUCCAGCCAGGGCUGAAAGGGGCCAAUGUAAAGUUUGGGUCAUGG
rnacentral:lncRNA from 10 species